GCAAGUCGAGCGGUAACAGAGAUAGCUUGCUAUCUGCUGACGACCGGCGCACGGGUGCGUAACGCGUAUACAAUCUGCCUUACACUAAGGGAUAGCCCAGAGAAAUUUGGAUUAAUACCUUAUAGUUUAUUAGAAUGGCAUCAUUUUAAUAAUAAAGAUUACGGUGUAAGAUGAGUAUGCGUCCCAUUAGUUUGUUGGUAAGGUAACGGCUUACCAAGACUACGAUGGGUAGGGGCCCUGAGAGGGGGAUC
rnacentral:rRNA from 1 species